UGAGGAUCUGCAAGGAGUUUGGACAUCACAUCCAUCCUCUGAUGGGGAGGGAUAGAAUUGAACUCAGAAGUGGUCCCCGAUUCCAAUUGUAUUUGUGUAUUGGAUCCAGAGCAGAAAAAAACCUGCCUCUUAGUCACACCAACAACUGUGAAAUAAACAAGGAUGCCAGAAAUGGCCUCUAAUCCUGCAGGUUGAACCGCAGACGGAGCUGAGUUUUAGCUGUUAUGCAGGCGCCCCUUGGGUUUGUCCAUCAGCCAGUCCCCCCUCCUCCCCUCUGCAAUCUGCGUAGAGGAGCUGCGGCUGCUGCUGAGUGCAAGGCAGGAGUGAAGCGCCAAGCCUAGCCGCUUUCUGCAGCCUGGCCGGAGGAGGAGGGAGGAGUGAAAUGUGACUGAAAAAGGCUGCCCUGAGUCACUGCAAACAUGUGCUGGUUGCAUCGCUCUCAACGCGUGAAAUCUUCUCAACAAGGAUCCAAGCUCAUUUGGACCAGCUAAAGGAGCCACAGCAAGAACCAGAAGUGCUGAAGCCAGGAACCCAAUCUCAGAACAGUUGGGUCACUUUAGUAAAAUGGAGGCCUAAGGCCUGUCACUAAGAAGGGUACACUCCUAUACCACAGAUCUUCAUACAGUUCUGGCACACCCUGUGGAUCUUGACACCCGCUGACAGGCAUUAAAAAACAGGAGCAUCUCCUAUCAGUGAAGUUCUAUUGUUCCCUGACAGGUACGUUUAAGGCCCAGAAUUUUCAGCUCUCCCAACUGAAGAUUCAG